rnacentral:rRNA from 1 species
AACGAAGGGGGCUAGCGUUGUUCGGAAUUACUGGGCGUAAAGCGCACGUAGGCGGAUUUGUUAGUCAGGGGUGAAAUCCCGGGGCUCAACCUCGGAACUGCCUUUGAUACUGCAAGUCUAGAGUCCGGAAGAGGUGAGUGGAAUUCCUAGUGUAGAGGUGAAAUUCGUAGAGAUUAGGAGGAACACCAGUGGCGAAGGCGGCUCACUGGUCCGGUACUGACGCUGAGGUGCGAAAGAGUGGGGAGCAAACAGG